rnacentral:misc_RNA from 1 species
UUUCCGUAGGUGAACCUGCGGAAGGAUCAUUACCGAGUUAGGGUCGCCCCCGCGCGCCCGACCUCCAACCCUUUGUCUACCUGACCUACAUGUUGCUUCGGCAGGCCCGCCGCCCCCGCUCACCCGGGGGAGGCCGCCGGGGGUCUCGCGAUCCCGGGCCCGCGCCUGUCGACGGCCCCAACCACAAAACUCUUGUUAAAAAACGUGUCGUCUGAGUACCACAUUUUAAUCAAAUUAAAACUUUCAACAACGGAUCUCUUGGUUCUG